rnacentral:rRNA from 1 species
GACGAACGCUGGCGGCGUGCUUAAAAACAUGCAAGUCGAACGGACUUCUCAUGAAGCUUGCGAUUGAGAAGUUAGUGGCGGACGGGUGAGUAACGCGUGGGCAACCUGCCCCUGAGCCCGGGAUAACAGUUCGAAAGGACUGCUAAGACCGGAUAUACUUGCGGUGAAGCAUUUCACUGCAAGGAAAGGGAACGCUCAGGGAUGGGCCCGCGUCCCAUUAGCUAGUUGGUGAGGUAACGGCCCACCAAGGCGACGAUGGGUAGCCGGCCUGAGAGGGUGAACGGCCACACUGGGACUGAGACACGGUCCAGACUCCUACGGGAGGCAGCAGUGGGGAAUAUUGCACAAUGGGCGAAAGCCUGAUGCAGCGACGCCGCGUGAGGGAUGACGGCCUUCGGUUGUAAACCGUACUUUCUAGCAGGGAAGAAGACGAAAGUAGACGGUACCGUGCAGAAGAAGACACCGGCUAACUACGUG